rnacentral:rRNA from 1 species
GGAGGCAGCAGUAGGGAAUAUUCCACAAUGAGCGAAAGCUUGAUGGAGCGACACAGCGUGCAGGAAGACGGUCUUAGGAUUGUAAACUGCUGUUAUAAGGGAAGAAAAGCAAGUAUAGGAAAUGAUAUUUGUCUGACGGUACCUUAUCAGAAAGCACCGGCAAACCAUGUGCCAGCAGCCGCGGUAAUACAUGGGGUGCAAGCGUUAUCCGGAAUUAUUGGGCGUAAAGCGUUCGUAGGUGGUUUAUUAAGUCUGAAGUUAAAGCCUGGGGCUCAACCCCAGCCCGCUUUGGAUACUGAUAGACUAGAGUUAUAGAGAGGUCGGUAGAACUCCAUGUGAAGCGGUGGAAUGCGUAGAUAUAUGGAAGAAUACCAAUGGCGAAGGCAGCCGACUGGAUAUAUACUGACACUGAGGAACGAAAGCGUGGGGAGCAAACAGGAUUAGAUACCCUGGUAGUCCACGCCGUAAACGAUGAUCAUUAGCUGGUGGAUUUAAUCACUGGCACAGCUAACGCGUUAAAUGAUCCGCCUGAGUAGUAUGCUCGCAAGAGUGAAACUUAAAGGAAUUGACGGGGACCCGCACAAGCGGUGGAGCAUGUGGUUUAAUUUGAAGAUACGCGUAGAACCUUACCCACUCUUGACAUCUUUCGCAAUGCUAUAGAGAUAUAGCGGAGGUUAACAGAAUGACAGAAUGGUGCAA